AAGACUUAAAUGGGAAAUGACAGAUUUAGAAAUAGAUCCUUCUUCGGACAUUUUUCAAGGUGCUGCAUGGUUGUCGUCAGCUCGUGCCGUGAGGUGUUAGGUUAAGUCCUGCAACGAGCGCAACCCCUGUCACUAGUUGCCAUCAUUCAGUUGGGGACUCUAGUGAGACUGCCUACGCAAGUAGAGAGGAAGGUGGGGAUGACGUCAAAUCAUCACGGCCCUUACGUCUUGGGCCACACACGUAAUACAAUGGCCGGUACAGAGGGCAGCUACACUGUGAAGUGAUGCGAAUCUCGAAAGCCGGUCUCAGUUCGGAUUGGAGUCUGCAACUCGACUCUAUGAAGCUGGAAUCGCUAGUAAUCGCGCAUCAGCCAUGGCGCGGUGAAUACGUUCCCGGGCC
rnacentral:rRNA from 1 species